GGGGAGGGCCUGCGGCCAUCAGCUAGUUGGAGAGGUAACGGCUCCCCAAGGCAAUGACGGGUAGGGGGUGUGAGAGCAUGGCCCCCCACACUGGGACUGAGACACGGCCCAGGCUCCUACGGGAGGCAGCAGCAGGGAAUAUUGCGCAAUGGACGGAAGUCUGACGCAGCGACGCCGCGUGGAUGACGAAGGCCUUCGGGUUGUAAAAUCCUUUUCCGGGCGAUGAGGCAGGACACUAGCCUGGGAAUAAGCGUCGGCUAACUACGUGCCAGCAGCCGCGGUAAGACGUAGGACGCGAAGCGGUUAUCCGGAUUUACUGGGGGCGCUAAGGCGCCUUGCCAGGGCGGCUCAGCGUAAGCUCGGUUGUGAAAGCCCCGGUUGCCUUCCCAACGGCGGGGAGGCCAAGCGAUACUGCGUGACUUGAGGGCGGAAGAGGGGAGUGGAAUUCCCGGUGUAGCGGUAAAAUGCGCAGAAAUCGGGAGGAACACCAGUGGCGAAGGCGGCUCCCUGGACCGCACCUGACGCUCAGAGGCGAAAGCUAGGGGAGCGAACAGGAUUAGAGACCCUGGUAGUCCUAGCCCUAAACGCUGGAUGCUAGGUGUAGGGCUGAUGAGGCUCUGUGCCGGAGCGAACGCGAUAAGCAUCCCGCCUGGGAACUACGGCCGCAAGGCUAAAACUCAAACGAAUUGACGGGGACCCGCACAAGCAGCGGAGCGUGUGGUUUAAUUCGAUGCUACACGAAGAACCUUACCUGGGUUUGACAUGUUGGUGGUACCGAACCGAAAGGGGAGGGACCCUUCGGGGAGCCAACACAGGUGCUGCAUGGCUGUCGUCAGCUCGUGCCGUGAGGUGUCGGGUUAAGUCCCGUAACGAGCGCAACCCUUGCUCUUAGUUAUACGUGUCUAAGGGGACUGCCGGCGACAAGCCGGAGGAAGGUGGGGAUGACGUCAAGUCAGCAUGGCCUUGAUAUCCAGGGCUACACACACGCUACAAUGGCCGGUACAAAGGGCAGCCAAGCCGCGAGGUGGAGCGAAUCCCAGCAAAGCCGGUCCCAGUUCGGGUUGCAGGCUGCAACCCGCCUGCAUGAAGUUGGAGUUGCUAGUAACCGCGCGUCAGCCAUAGUGCGGUGAAUACGUACCCGGGUCUUGUACACACCGCCCGUCACGUCAUGGGAGUUGGCAACGCCUGACAGCGGUAGCCUAACCGAAAGGAAGG
rnacentral:rRNA from 1 species